GCCUACCAAGGCUACGAUGGGUAGCUGGUCUGAGAGGAUGAUCAGCCACACUGGAACUGAGACACGGUCCAGACUCCUACGGGAGGCAGCAGUGGGGAAUAUUGCGCAAUGGGCGAAAGCCUGACGCAGCAACGCCGCGUGGGUGAAGAAGGCCUUCGGGUUGUAAAGCCCUGUCAGGUGGGAAGAAAGGUCAAAGGUUAAUAGCCCUUUGUCUCUGACGGUACCACCAGAGGAAGCACCGGCUAACUCCGUGCCAGCAGCCGCGGUAAUACGGAGGGUGCGAGCGUUGUUCGGAAUUACUGGGCGUAAAGCGGGNGUAGGCGGUGGAUCAAGUCAGAUGUGAAAGCCCUCGGCUCAACCGAGGAAGUGCACCUGACACUGGUUCUCUAGAGUACGGGAGAGGAAGAGGG
rnacentral:rRNA from 1 species